CCUGGGCUGCUGGCUUUCCAGCCGCCAAGCCCAGUAUUUGAACUGCUGAGCCACCAUGCUACCCCAUUACAUUAUAAUGUUCUAAAUCAUUAAUUUUAACUGACAACUUACAUCAAUCUAUACAUUGCAUAAAUAUAAAUUAAUUUAUAUUAGCAGACAUCUCACCAGCUCAACGUUGACUCACCUUUCCAAGGUCAGUAAAAUGAGGACCCAGAUUGUUUGGGGGCAAUAUGCUGAUUCUGUAAACCGCUUAGAGAGGGCUGUAAAGCACUGUGAAGCGGUAUAUAAAUCUAAGUGCUAUUGCUAUUGCUAUCUUAAGCUUUCCAGAUGGCACAUGAGUUAUUUUAACUAAAAAUGUGGUUAAUUAAAAAAACCCCACCAUGCUAAAAAAUAGUGAUUAUUUAGCCUCAAGAAUCUUCGAAGCUAAAUGAUCAAAACGAGGAGUGCCAAUCUUGAAAACAAAUGUGGCAUGAAAUUUAACGGAGCCUUGCUUAAUAGGAACUGUCUGUUGCUCUUCCCUGUUUAGAUGCUUCUGUGGAAAUAGGUCUACAAUAUGUAGCCUUUGCUAGUGUCCUUGAACAGCUAACAAAAUCUGUACUUCAACUUGAUUAAAGAAACAUACUGCCUUGGAUUGAAUUUAGAAUGUAUAGAGUAUUGUACUCAGAAGAUUACUGAACUAGAGGAUAGCCAUGACAAAAAUUGGAGCACAGUCUAAUUUGGCAACAUCAUCUUUCCAGUCAGAUAGUUUUCCAGCCAUUAUGCCAGGCACUGAGCUUUAGGCUUUCUCUUGGAUUGUCAUUCCAUCACAGUAAAAGUGUUGGCUCAGAGCUACAAAGUCAUCUGCUCUGGAGUCUAACUUGCUUUGAUUUAUUUUGUCUUUAGAUGACACUUCACAUGAAAAGAGCAGAUGGUGAAAGGGAACACCAGCUUCCUUUAUGUGACAACAAAUCAGAAAACGGCAAAGAAUUACUUGCAGCAAAACAGGAGAAAUCUAUUUUAUUUUCAUUUGAGCUAAGAUCUACUCAAGCUCUUCAGGCGAUUGUGACUAUUUUUUUAAUGUGUCAGCAGAGGGGCACCUUAAGUGGAAACCAUAUAUCCCCUAGGUCCCUAAUUCUGCUUCAGAAAUGAUUAUAGUUUUAUUAUUCAUGUACAAAUAUGGCAGUACCAGAUAAAUGAAGUAUCACCAAUUAUUCAAUUUAUGAAAAUAUGCCAACUCUGCCAGGCUUCCUGUUUGUUCGUUCUAUAUUUUCUUCAACAGAGAUUAGGGCACAUUCGCUAAUAGGGGUGCCCUACAGAUUUGUGGCCUUCAAUUUUUAGGAUUACUUAGCACACAUGAUCAUGGUUGAGAAUUCUUGGAGUCUAUGUGUCUAUUUGGGAUAUUGUCCACCCACAAUAUCAGACUUUUUUGAUCCAAAAAUGGUAGUUUUUCGUAAAUUCAAAUUGCAACAUGACCAUGUCAUUUAAAAUAGUAGUUAGAACUUAGCACUGGUCCUUAGAAACCCAGAAAACAAAGUUUUUUUUACUUUUUUAAUGCUAGCGAUAUUCACUGUUAUUAGUUAUGCUAAAAAAUAACACAAAAAUAGGAGAAAAAAAAUAUUUUCCCUUCUAUGCAGUAUCAUCAACAAAUUCAUAUUUGCCACAAUAGUAGAGCAGGGAAUUUCAAUCACAGCCUAAAUAUAGCAAUUUACACCGAUACACAAAUGAGCUAUGACUGCUCGCCUAUUAAAGAUAAAGGCUCCCCUCGCACAUACGUGCUAGUCGUUCCUGACUCUAGGGGGCGGUGCUCAUCUCCGUUUCAAAGCCGAAGAGCCAGCGCUGUCUGAAGACGUCUCCUUGGUCAUGUGGCCGGCAUGACUCAACGCCAAAGGCGCACGGAACUCUGUUACCUUCCCACCAAAGGACAUAGGAAAAGGAAAAUAUAAAGAAAACAACAGUCCUGAAGUUCAUGUACAAUCCUGAAACCAACUUUCUACUUGGAACACGCUGACAUCACUGCAAUAUCAGAUGCAGGGAAUGGGUCUCCGCAUUCCCUGUGCUGAGUUCUCCCUGUUUGUGGGCUCCAAGAGAAGCCAAAGUCGCCUUGUAGGGGUGGCGAACCUAAGGACGGGCGCCCUGAGAGGUUGUGGGAGAGAUCGCAACUCUCCUGCUGAACCCCGGCCUUUUUUUCCUCUAUGCCACAGCAAGGAGAAGAGGCAGCCUAAAGAUGGCUGCCAUGAAGCUGAAACAACCAAGAAACGUCUAAGAACUGUACUGGAGCGGAGUCGGUGAACUGGGUGAGAAGAAUCCUUUUUAUUUAAAACUCAACUCCAAAGAAUAUCCAAGAAAAGAGAGGCCCACUUCUAUUUUUAAAAGUAGCGAUUUAACAUUUUGAGAAGAAUUUCAAAAUUGAAAGAAUAGGAAUCAAACGGAGAAAGGCAAAAACCUUUAAAAAUACAGAAAAUUGAAUUUUUAAAUUGGACAGGCAUUGUUAUUAUUAUUAUUAUUAUUAUUUAUUCGAUUUUUAUACCGCCCUUCUCCCGAAAGACUCAGGGCGGUGUACAGCCAAAAUAAAACAAGCAAUACAAUAUACAAUUAAAACCUGAAUUAAAAAACUUAUUACACCAUUGGCCUAAGACUUUAAAACAUAUAAAACUAAAAAAAAACCAUUAAAAUUCAUAGGAAAAAUUUAAAAACCCAAUAAAAACCCAAUAAAAUUUAAGCCAGCCCCGCGUGAAUAAAUAGAUGUGUUUUCAAUUCGCGGCGAAAGGUCCAAAGGUCAGGUAUUUGGCGUAAACCAGGGGGAAGUUCGUUCCAGAGGGUAGGAGCCCCCACAGAGAAGGAUCUUCCCCUGGGGGCCACUGGCCGACAUUGUUUGGCGGACGGCACCCUGAGAAGUCCCUCUCUGUGUGAGCAUACAGGUCGGUGGGAGGCAUGCAGUAACAGUAGGCGGUCCCAUAAGUACCCAGGCCCUAAGCCAUUUUGUUUUGGAUAAGCAUUUUAAAAUGCUGGAACUAUUUACUUAAAAAACUAAUAUCUUUUUUUUUUUUUUUUGGAAUUGUUUACCAUUAAAAUUGGAUAAAACUGGUUAAUAUUGAAAUUUGACCUAAGAGUGCCACCUGCUGACAAAAGGAAGGCAUAACAUAUUCCCAAAAUCUUGGAAAUACUUGACUAUUGGAGAUUUAAACGUGAGAAUAAGAAAGACACUAUUAUUAACAUGACCCCUGAAAACUACAACACAAGACUGAAUUUAUAGAGGGACUUAUGGAGGUUCUGGAAAAAAUUCUUGAGACUAUCCAGAGGAACAGGUCGAUCAGCUUUGGGAUAUAAAGAUUCAUGAAUAUUGAACUUUUUAAGAAGUGACUUUAGGUUUGAAUAUAUGGUUUUUGGAUUAUUGGAUAAAAGAUGGACAAAAUAAAACUAAGCGAGAUGCUCCACCAGCAAGAAAAGAGUGGAAUUUGGGGAGAAACGGUGCCAUUAAUUCAAAGUAUUUUAAUACUUUAACAAGAAGCUACAAGGAGAUUAUGAAUAAAAUGCAGAUCAUAGAUAGAGAGCUGGAAAACAUGAUACAGAGGACAAGGAGUGACCAAGACGCCCAGGAAGAGGAGGAGUGAAUUGAAAGAUUAGAUGAAAAAACAGAACAGAAAAGCCAACAAAUAAAAUGAGAUGACAAGCAGGAGAUAACUACAAAAACAACAAUGAUUGAUGAAAUAAGCUUUUUUUUUUUGAAGAGAGAUAGGGGCAAGAGUAGAUAUUUUGAAAAUUAGACAAUGGAAUAGGGCAGAGAAGGGAGAAAUGUUUAAAAUGAUGGGUCAAGAUAGAGACAAAGAUCCAAGAGAGGAAUAUGGGAGGCAAACUAAGAAAAGAACAAUUAAAGCUUUAAAGCGGGCAAGCAACGAUGGCUAGAAAGGGAAUAUUUUUAAAUAUAAUAAUGGAAUAAUUAAAAGUUAGAAUAGGGAUGCAAACUAAAGAGGGGGAUUAAUGUAAUUCACAUUUCUAUAAAAUAAGGUGAAGUAAUAACAAGAGGGGAAAUCAGAAAUUGAAUGAUGGUAUUAUCAAGUAUGCUUGAAUAAUAUGGUGACUGGCAUAAAUACAACAUAUUGAAAUAUUGAAUAAUUAAAUAAUAGAAGAUUGUAAUUUAACAUAAAUAUGUGUAUUAUUAAAACCAUAUAAGCUUGCUAAAUGUAAUAAAUAUGAUUAAUAAUAUUUUAUUUGUAGUAAAAGGAAUGACACUCAGAAUAUGGUGAUUAGCAUAAAAAUAACAUAUUGAAAUAUUGAAUAAUUAAAUAAUGAAAGAUCAUAACUUAACAUAAAUAUGUGUACUAUUACCAGAAUUACAUAAGCUUGUCAAACAUAGUAAACAUGAUGAAUAUUAUUUUAUUUGUACUAAAAUGUAAGACACUCGA